UACGAAGGGGGCUAGCGUUGCUCGGAAUCACUGGGCGUAAAGGGUGCGUAGGCGGGUCUUUAAGUCAGGGGUGAAAUCCUGGAGCUCAACUCCAGAACUGCCUUUGAUACUGAGGAUCUUGAGUACGGGAGAGGUGAGUGGAACUGCGAGUGUAGAGGUGAAAUUCGUAGAUAUUCGCAAGAACACCAGUGGCGAAGGCGGCUCACUGGCCCGUAACUGACGCUGAGGCACGAAAGCGUGGGGAGCAGA
rnacentral:rRNA from 1 species